rnacentral:lncRNA from 1 species
UUGGUUGUCUGCAUUUUUUCAAAAACAACCUGAUGUCCUAGCCGAUGUUGUGACAUCUGCCUUGAUGAAGGCCAGGACAUCCGCCCCUGCUGGCAUGCAAGUGGGUCCCUUGUGGUUAUGCUUUAUGGUAUGAUCUGUGCUUACUUGAAGGUCAAGUAACUGUGUGUUGGGAGCCAGUUGCGGGUUGUUAUUGUUGAAGCAAAUCUGUGAUUAAAAAGAUUUGUUUCUAUUUUUACUUGUUGAUCACUCAUAUCAGAUCUUGAAAGAUUCUCUGCUGAUAUGAGUUGGAUCAAGGUGUUCUUCAGCCCAAAUAAACCCUAGCCGCCUCUGCUGAAGUAUAUAUUGACAAAGACCUGAAGCUUGAAGUUGAUCGAGAGAAUUACCUUGAAGAUCAAGUGUUCUUAAGAGUGUAAGUUGUUCUUUGUCUUUGUUAGUUGUGAACUCGUCUUGCUCACUGAUUCUAUAAAGUGAGACUGAGUUCUGUGUUGUGUUUGAGUGUCAAACAAACUCUGUGUUAUUGUUGUUCACCAAUCACUGUGGCAGUGAUUGAGGAAAAGUGAGAGGGGGUUCUCAUACUUAGGGGGAGACCUAAGUAAUAAACCACGGGUAGGAAUAGGUAGAAAGGCUGGGAACUGGGGCAGUUCUGUUAAGACCUUUUUGUACUUGAUUCUCUAUAAUAGUGGAUUAUCUUUCUCUUGGGUGGAAGCCCUCCAGAUGUAGGUGAUGUUGCACCGAACUGGGUUACCAAUCCUCUGUGUUCUUUAUUGUUAUAUUGUUGCUACUGUGUUGUUUCUACUGUAUUAAACAUUGUGGCUUAAUUUCUGUACUGUUGUGCAAUUGUCGAACUGAUUGUCCCAACAUCGCGUUCGACAUCUGUCCUGUGCACGAACCAGAAUUUCAAUUGGUAUCAGAGCAGGCACCCUAUUCUGUUGGGUGAGCUCCAGGGAAUAUAUUCUGGUUUCAUGGACAACGCCAAGGAAGAGGGAUCAAUAAAUAGAUCUGAUCUUGUGAUCUCAUGUAUCUGCUGCUGUUUAUGUUGUGUCUCUGAUAUGCAACCCAAUGAUGUGCACCGUUUGAGGGGGAGUUCUGAUGCUGAGAGGGAGUUAUGUUUAUCUUCUCUGAAUCUCAAGUUGUUUUAGACAAAAUUUGACAAAGGGGGAGAUUGUUGUUACUUUUGGUUGUCUGCAUUUUUUCAAAAACAACCUGAUGUCGAAGCAGAUGUUGUAACAUCGUGCUGUGACAUUUGUCCUGCGGAUCUGCUGUGUGUUUGGCUGAUUUUUCUAGAAGCUUUGGAUGGAUUUCGUGAUAAUCAAGUUAAGGUUAUUGAAGAAGCUUCUAUUUGUUAUCUGGAAUAUAAUAUAGUGGAAUCAAAUCUGUUGAAGAAGAUUUGAUUUGGUUUAAAUUGUGAAAGAUGUUAUCUUUUGUUCAAAUCUUAUUUGAUAAGAUUUGUUACUGGUUUAAAAGAUUUGUUCCAGAUCUGUUUUAUGGACUCUAUUUUCGUGCAAGCCCAUUGAAGAUCAAGACCAGAAGAAAGCCUAUUUAAGGAGGCUUAACCCUAGUUGCAAAGUGUGCCUUGGGCACCCAAGGAUUGGGUUUUUAGGGUUUUGUUUUGUGAGUCCUUGUUCUGUUAUUUUGUACACCACUCUACUGCCUCCA